rnacentral:lncRNA from 1 species
UGCUCUGCCGCUACUUGUGUUACUGAUGCUGGCUUUAGUAAUCUGGAGGCUUAGACAAAAACACAAUGGCGCGUUGUCCAAACGAGGACCAGACGUCUGUUCUGUGGCAGAAGGUCCAAUGACUGUCGCGUAUGACACUGUGGUCUUUAAGAAAGCAAAGAACGAACCAAACCAGGUCUCCAUUAGCCGCCCUCCUGAACGAGAUGAAGUGAUCUACAGCACUCCGAAACUUCACUAAUAACAGAUGAUCUCAGGCCAUUCACAUUAUGAAUAUUACAAUCUGAAGUAAUGGCAUCUUCGUCUGUUUUACUGUACAUCAUGCAGUUUCUUUUAAAGCCGCAAAGGACGUCACUUGAGACAGAAAAAGAGGAACCUCCAGAACACAUUUUAAAGUGUUGCAUGCGGGUCAUGGUUGAGCAGAUUAUUAUUUUGCUAUUAAGAUUUUUGCCACAUCUGUAAAAGUGUCACCUUUUAGUUAGCACAUAUGUUUGUAGUGGUACAUUUUGUUCGGCUUUUCUACUUUUAUUCUUAGUCAGUGUGAGCAAAACUGAAAGAUCUUUACCACAUCAGAGACUGACACAAUGAGUCCAGG